UUCGCAAUGCCCGAAAGGGUGACGAAGCGACGCCGCGUGCGGGAAGAAGGCCUUCGGGUUGUAAACCGCUGUCGGGAGUUAAGAAAUGUAAGGAUGUUAAUAGCAUCUUUGCUUGACUAAGGCUCCGGAGGAAGCCACGGCUAACUCUGUGCCAGCAGCCGCGGUAAUACAGAGGCGGCAAGCGUUGUUCGGAAUUAUUGGGCGUAAAGAGCACGUAGGCGGCUAUGUAAGUCGGUUGUGAAAGCCUUCCGCUCAACGGGAGAACAGCAUCCGAUACUGCAUGGCUUGAGUGCGGGAGGGGAGAGUGGAACUUCUGGUGGAGCGGUGAAAUGCGUAGAUAUCAGAAGGAACGUCGGCGGCGAAAGCGACUCUCUGGCCUAUUACUGACACUGAGUGUGCGAAAGUUAGGGGAGCAAACGGGAUUAGAUACCCCGGUAGUCCUAACUGUAAACGAUGGGCACUAAGUAGAGGGGUUUU
rnacentral:rRNA from 1 species